rnacentral:rRNA from 1 species
UACGAAGGGGGCGAGCGUUGUUCGGAAUCACUGGGCGUAAAGCGUGCGUAGGCUGCUCUGAAAGUUAGGAGUGAAAGCCCCAGGCUCAACUUGGGAAUUGCUUUUAAUACUGCAGGGCUUGAAUUCGGGAGAGGAUAGCGGAAUUGUCAGUGUAGCAGUGAAAUGCGUAGAUAUUGACAGGAACACCAGUGGCGUAAGCGGCUAUCUGGACCGACAUUGACGCUGAGGCACGAAAGCGUGGGGAUCAAACAGG